CAACGUUCUCAGGGCGGGGUGCGAUUCCCCACCGGCGGUAAUGGCGCGCAAUGCGUCUAGCCCGCGAGCGCUUGCAGCGACUUCAGCGUCGAUGCAAGGACAGCAGACCCGGUGUGAUUCCGGGGCCGACGGUCAUAGUCCGGAUGAAGAGAGAACGGGA
rnacentral:ncRNA from 1 species